rnacentral:tRNA from 4 species
GCGGUAGUGGCGGAACGGCAGACGCACCAGCUUGAGGGGCUGGCGGGGGCAACCUCGUGGUGGUUCAAAUCCACUCUACCGCACCA